CUACAUAGGUGAUCGACGUAGGCCUCCACGGGGACUAGCACGUGGCUUGCUAGGGAAUCCCCCUCAGGCGCCGCUUAUAUGUCAUGUUGGGACUCAUAGGUAAUUAAUUUCAUAAUCCUAUAUAGUAUUACUAUAACAUAAGUAUUUAGUUCUUAUAUAUUCUUUGUAAUUUGAAAUGUAUUAAUUUCAAUUGUAGUAUCCUUGACGCCACGCCAAGGAACACGUUGCUUGGGAUCGUCCGCAACCGAUUCUCAAGCCCGUGGAUGAGGUGGGCGGAUGUGGAUGACCGCACACGGCAGCUGAUUAUUGAUGAGUUUAGGGUAGGAUGUCAAUCAUUCAUAUGCUAGUUUUAUAUUCCAUUUGAAUAUACUGUUACCUCUUUGAUUUAUGUUGUCUACUAAGCUUCUUAAUGUGUAAUGUGCAGAGAUAUUAUCGUUUUGAGGACGGGCAGG
rnacentral:lncRNA from 1 species